rnacentral:rRNA from 1 species
UUGGAGGGCAAGUCUGGUGCCAGCAGCCGCGGUAAUUCCAGCUCCAAUAGCGUAUAUUAAAGUUGUUGCAGUUAAAAAGCUCGUAGUUGAAUUUCGGGAUUAAUUUAUUGGUCGUGCUAUUGUACGUACUGGUAUUAUUGAUUCCUACCUUCUGACGAACCAUGAUGUCAUUAAUUUGGUGUCAUGGGGAAUCAGGACUGUUACUUUGAAAAAAUUAGAGUGUUUAAAGCAGGCUCACGCUUGAAUACAUUAGCAUGGAAUAACGAAAUAGGACGUUUGAUUCUAUUUUGUUGGUUUCCAGGAUCGACGUAAUGAUUAAUAGGGAUAGUUGGGUGCAUUAGUAUUCAAUUGUCAGAGGUGAAAUUCUUGGAUUUAUUGAAGACUAACUACUGCGAAAGCAUUUGCCAAGGGUGUUUUCAUUAAUCAAGAACGAAAGUUAGGGGAUCGAAGACGAUCAGAUACCGUCGUAGUCUUAACCAUAAACUAUGCCGACUAGGGAUCGGAUGAUGUUAAUUUUUUAAUGACUCAUUCGGCGCCUUACGGGAAAC